rnacentral:rRNA from 1 species
AUGAACGCUAGCGAUAGGCUUAACACAUGCAAGUCGAGGGGCAGCACAAGGUAGCUUGCUAUCUGGGUGGCGACCGGCGCACGGGUGCGUAACGCGUAUGCAACUUGCCCUAUACAGGAGGAUAACCCGUCGAAAGACGGACUAAUACUGCGUAUGCUCACAACUUGGCAUCAAGUGGUGAGGAAAGAAAUUCGGUAUAGGAUAGGCAUGCGUCCCAUUAGCUUGUUGGUGAGGUAACGGCUCACCAAGGCAACGAUGGGUAGGGGAACUGAGAGGUUUAUCCCCCACACUGGUACUGAGACACGGGCCAGACUCCUACGGGAGGCAGCAGUGAGGAAUAUUGGUCAAUGGGCGCGAGCCUGAACCAGCCAAGUCGCGUGAAGGAUGACUGUCUUAUGGAUUGUAAACUUCUUUUAUACGGGAAUAACAAGAGUCACGUGUGACUCCCUGCAUGUACCGUAUGAAUAAGCAUCGGCUAACUCCGUG